AUACGUAGGGGGCGAGCGUUGUCCGGAUUUAUUGGGCGUAAAGGGUGCGUAGGCGGCCUUGUAAGUCAGAUGUGAAAGAUCAUGGCUUAACUGUGGUAAGCAUUUGAAACUGCAGGGCUUGAGUACAGGCGUGGAGAGUGGAAUUCCUAGUGUAGCGGUGAAAUGCGUAGAUAUUAGGAGGAAUACCAGUGGCGAAGGCGACUCUAUGGACUGAUGCUGACGCUGAGGCACGAAAGCGUGGGGAGCAAACAGGAUUAGAUACCCUGGUAGUCCACGCUAUAAACGAUGAGUGCUAGGUGUCGGGGGUCAAACCGCGGUGCCGCAGUUAACACAUUAAGCACGCCGCCGGGGGAGUACGGCCGCAAGGCUGAAACUCAAAUGAAUUGGCGGGG
rnacentral:rRNA from 1 species